UACCAGCAGUCCAAGUUGCAGCCAUUAUUAUUGGGUCUAAAACAUCCGUAGCUUGUCUAAUAAGUUUCUUGUGAAAUUUUUAUCUCUCAAGGAUAAAGCGUGCAAGAAAUACUGUUGGGCUAGAGACCGGUAGAUGUAAGGAGUAUGUUCAAGGUAGUGGUUAAAUACGUUAAUCUUGAGCAGACUAACAAUUGGCGAAGGCACCUUACAAGGACGGAUCUGACAGUGAGGGAUGAAAGCCAGGGGCGCAAAACGGAUUAGAUACCCCAGUA
rnacentral:rRNA from 1 species